rnacentral:misc_RNA from 1 species
UUUCCGUAGGUGAACCUGCGGAAGGACCAUUAAAAAUGAAGCCGGGAAACCGGUCCUUCUCACCCUUGAUUAUCUCAAUUUGUUGCUUUGGUGGGCCGCGCAAGCACCGGCUUCGGCUGGAUCGUGCCCGCCAGAGGACCACAACUCUGUAUUAUAUGUCGUCUGAGUACUAUAAAAUAGUUAAAACUUUCAACAACGGAUCUCUUGGUUCUG